AUUGAACGCUGGCGGCAGGCCUAACACAUGCAAGUCGAGCGCGAAAGGCCUUCGGGCUGAGUAGAGCGGCGGACGGGUGAGUAACGCGUAGGAAUCUACCCGGUAGUGGGGGACAACCUGGGGAAACUCAAGCUAAUACCGCAUACGCCCUAAGGGGGAAAGCGGGGGACCUUCGGGCCUCGCGCUAUCGGAUGAGCUUGCGUGGGAUUAGCUAGGUGGUGAGGUAAAGGCCAACCAAGGCGACGAUCCUUAGCUGGUCUGAGAGGAGGAUCAGCCACACUGGGACUGAGACACGGCCCAGACUCCUACGGGAGGCAGCAGUGGGGAAUAUUGCGCAAUGGGGGCAACCCUGACGCAGCCAUGCCGCGUGUGUGAAGAAGGCCUUCGGGUUGUAAGCACUUUCAAUGGGGAAGAAAAGCGUACUGUUAAUAGCGGUGCGCCGUGACGUUACCCAUAGAAGAAGCACCGGCUAACUCCGUGCCAGCAGCCGCCGUAAAAC
rnacentral:rRNA from 1 species